UACGUAGGGUGCAAGCGUUAAUCGGAAUUACUGGGCGUAAAGCGUGCGCAGGCGGUAAUGUAAGACAGAUGUGAAAUCCCCGGGCUCAACCUGGGAACUGCAUUUGUGACUGCAUCGCUGGAGUACGGCAGAGGGGGAUGGAAUUCCGCGUGUAGCAGUGAAAUGCGUAGAUAUGCGGAGGAACACCGAUGGCGAAGGCAAUCCCCUGGGCCUGUACUGACGCUCAUGCACGAAAGCGUGGGGAGCAAACAGG
rnacentral:rRNA from 1 species